rnacentral:rRNA from 1 species
GAUGAACGCUGGCGGCGUGCUUAACACAUGCAAGUCGAACGAAGCACUUUACCUGAUUUCCUUCGGGGAUGAUUGUUCUGUGACUGAGUGGCGGACGGGUGAGUAACGCGUGGAUAACCUGCCUCACACAGGGGGAUAACAGUUGGAAACGACUGCUAAUACCGCAUAAGCGCACAGCACCGCAUGGUGCAGUGUGAAAAACUCCGGUGGUGUGAGAUGGAUCCGCGUCUGAUUAGCUUGUUGGCGGGGUAACGGCCCACCAAGGCGACGAUCAGUAGCCGGCCUGAGAGGGCGACCGGCCACAUUGGGACUGAGACACGGCCCAGACUCCUACGGGAGGCAGCAGUGGGGAAUAUUGCACAAUGGGGGAAACCCUGAUGCAGCGACGCCGCGUGAGCGAUGAAG